rnacentral:misc_RNA from 1 species
CCAAUAGCGUAUAUUAAAGUUGUUGCAGUUAAAAAGCUCGUAGUUGAAUUUCGGGGUCAGUAGGUUGGUCGUGCCACCGGUACGUACUGGUCUCACUGAUUCCUCCUUCCUGAUGAGCUGUAAUGCCAUUAAUUUGGUGUUGCAGGGAAUCUGGACUGUUACUUUGAAAAAAUUAGAGUGUUUAAAGCAGGCUAACGCUUGAAUACAUUAGAAUGGAAUAAUGAAAUAGGACGUUCGAUCCUAUUUUGUUGGUUUCUAGGAUUGACGUAAUGAUUAAUAGGGAUAGUUGGGGGCAUUAGUAUUCAAUUGUCAGAGGUGAAAUUCUUGGAUUUAUUGAAGACUAACUACUGCGAAAGCAUUUGCCAAGGAUGUUUUCAUUAAUCAAGAACGAAAGUUAGGGGAUCGAAGACGAUCAGAUACCGUCGUAGUCUUAACCAUAAACUAUGCCGACUAGGGAUCGGAUGAUGUUAAUUUUUUAAUGACUCAUUCGGCGCCUUACG